rnacentral:rRNA from 1 species
CGCCUCUUGCUAACAAAGGAAGUACUAGAGGUCCCGCCUGCCCUGUGACCACAAAGUUUAACGGCCGCGGUAUCCUGACCGUGCGAAGGUAGCGUAAUCAUUUGUCUUUUAAAUAGAGACCUGUAUGAAUGGCAUAACGAGGGUUUAACUGUCUCCUUCCCCUAGUCAAUGAAAUUGAUCUGCCCGUGCAGAAGCGGACAUAAACACAUAAGACGAGAAGACCCUAUGGAGCUUUAGACAAAAGAUCAAACAUGUAAAGAAACCAAACCAACCAAAAGGAACACGAAGGCCACAAAACCCAACGUAAACUGAUCUAAAUGUCUUCGGUUGGGGCGACCAUGGGGGAAAGAAAAGCCCCCACGAGGAACAGGGACAACCCC